rnacentral:lncRNA from 1 species
GAAUGUAUAAAAUUUUAGGAAGCUUGCAGGACAAAUUGGACAUCACACCUGUGAGUAACCAAUUUAAUGUCACCCAUGGCAACAUAGGUCUUAUCAAUGAAAUUAACUUUACCAAUUUAUUCUCUUAAUAAUGUCUAGUACAAAAUGCAAAUUUAAGAGAACAUAUUUGUAAAUGCUUGUAAUUGGUUGUCCACAGGAAGCAAUAGCCCACAUGUAUGAGAACUGUAGUUG